CAAAACAUUUAUCCGAACUAUUAAUUAAGAUGAUGCCAUACAGAAAAUAAAACGAUUUUAAACAUGUUUAGGAAAGGAAAACUUUAUUUGAUCUGUAUUGAUGCUAGUGACCCAAAAUUUUUACCAAAUAAUAAAGGAGACAAUUGUCUAUGAAAAAUCGAAAAUUUUGGUGACAAUACAAUUUGAUAAAAGUUUUCCCACACGAAACAGUUAUGCAAAAUAAUUUAUUUUUGUCUAUACACAUGUGUCCAUUGUAGUGGCAUUUCUAACAUGACAAAUUUCCUGUUAAGCAGCGGUAACUGAUUACCCUCACCUUUCAACUGCUCCCUCGACGACAAUCAACACUAGUUAUUUUAUACUUGUUAGUUAUCGAAGCACCGUGAUAUCAUUUAGUAGCAAUCGCUUAUCUGAAUUUAUAAAAACAUUGUUAUUAUUGACGGGUGAUAGGGCUUAAAUUUGAAUUUUUUUGUAUUCAUUUUUACCAAAGAGUUACACUAUGAUUUUUAAGAGGCUUACAAACUAGGCGUUUAAUCGCGCGCGUACGCGUUUUGAACGCGAACGCCGUUCAUGUUAGAGAUGGGAAUUAUGGUUCACCUAAGUGAUCCGAUUCAUUCGAAUCAGGUCAACUAGAAGAUCCGGCUCAAAGACCCGUUUGCGAUCUAAAAGAUAUUUUGAGUCAAUUGAAUGGAACAUUCAGUAUAGUUUUGAUUCUUUUGCGGUUCUCGAUUCGCGAUUCGGAUUAGGGAUGUGUCGUAUAAACAAAUGACAUAUGAAUAUGUUAUCAUGUUAUCAUUGAUAUUUGGUAAGCGAUCAAAUCGGUUCAGUGUGAUUUAUACGGGAAAAAAUUAGUUUUUGGGGGAUCCGGAUCACUACGGUUCGGCGAUCUGAAUCAUUUGGUUCACUAUUUUGACCCGUUCAAUGCGAUCCGUUCGUUCGCGAACGACACAUCUCUAGUUCAUGUGCAUACUACAAGCGUUUUGACGCGUUUUUACAAAGAAAAUUAGCCCGCCAAAAGCUACAGUAUAAUCAUAACAGAUUCCAAAUUCCUCGUGGUAGCAUUUGCUCUGUCUAUUAUGAGCUUGAUGUAUUCAACUAAUGAUGGUCGUUUUAUUUUGACUGAUGCAAAAGUAAACCAUGAACAUUUAUCUAAUGAUGCUCAAAAUACACUUACGAGACUUAAUAAAUUAUUUAUUUAAAGACAAAGCUCGAAAGUAUAUUUUAUACUAUCAAAUCAAAAUAAUUCCAUGUAAAGAAAAAUUAGUGAAACAUUGACAAAACUGUGUACGCCAGUUUUGGAGCAUAGGUGCUAUUGAAAGUAAACGAAAAAAUAAAAACUCUGAAACAUUACCAAUUUUAACAUUCUCUGAUGAAGCUGAAUCAGUAAAGUUUGGUUAAGCACAACUGGGUUUCUUCUAACUUUGAUGAGAUUAAAAAACACUGGAAAUAAGAAUGGCUGAAAUUCGAGGUUUAAUAGUUUAAAUUAUAAAUAGUUUAAAUUAUAAAUAGUUUAAAUGAUAUAAAACAGUUAAUAUCCGAACAGGGCGUACUAUUCUUAUAUUCAAGGAAAAGGGGGACGAACAAAAUUUAUGCAACUGGAGGCCAAUAACGAUUUUCAGCGUAAUUCGUAGAAUCAUAGAAAGAAGUCUAGACCAGGCUUUGAGAGCACGAGUAAAAUGUAGUCAAGUGCAGAGAGGAUUUAUUUGUGGAAUGCCAGGAGCACAUAUAAACGCAUCACUCGUUGAGGGCUGCUUAAGAGUGGCUAGAGAAAAGAAGGACAAUUGUUGUAUAGUAAUGUUAGACUUAGCCAAAGCUUUCGAUACAGUAGGGCACGACCACAUCCGUCGCACGUUGCAAUCUUUAUCACUACCGAAU